UGCCUAAUACAUGCAAGUCGAGCGAGCUUGCCUAUAGAAGUUCUUCGGAAUGGAAAUAGAUACAAGCUAGCGGCGGAUGGGUGAGUAACGCGUGGGUAACCUGCCCUUAAGUCUGGGAUACCAUUUGGAAACAGAUGCUAAUACCGGAUAAAAGCUACUUUCGCAUGAAAGAAGUUUAAAAGGCGGCGUAAGCUGUCGCUAAAGGAUGGACCUGCGAUGCAUUAGCUAGUUGGUAAGGUAACGGCUUACCAAGGCGAUGAUGCAUAGCCGAGUUGAGAGACUGAUCGGCCACAUUGGGACUGAGACACGGCCCAAACUCCUACGGGAGGCAGCAGUAGGGAAUCUUCCACAAUGGACGAAAGUCUGAUGGAGCAACGCCGCGUGAGUGAAGAAGGUUUUCGGAUCGUAAAGCUCUGUUGUUGGUGAACAAGGAUAGAGGUAGUAACUGGCCUUUAUUUGACGGUAAUCAACCAGAAAGUCACGGCUAACUACGUGCCAGCAGCCGCGGUAAUACGUAGGUGGCAAGCGUUGUCCGGAUUUAUUUGGGCGUAAAGCGAGCGCAGGCGGAUUGAUAAGUUCUGAUGUGAAAGCCUUCGGCUUCACCGAAGAACUGCAUCAGAACUGUCAAUCUUGAAUGCAG
rnacentral:rRNA from 1 species